UACAGAGGUCUCAAGCGUUGUUCGGAUUCAUUGGGCGUAAAGGGUGCGUAGGCGGCGCGGUAAGUCGGGUGUGAAAUCUCGGAGCUUAACUCCGAAACUGCAUUCGAUACUGCCGUGCUUGAGGACUGGAGAGGAGACUGGAAUUUACGGUGUAGCGGUGAAAUGCGCAGAUAUCAGGAGGAACACCGGUGGCGAAGGCGGGUCUCUGGGCCGUAACUGACGCUGAGGAGCGAAAGCGUGGGGAGCGAACAGG
rnacentral:rRNA from 1 species